CGGAGGGUGCAAGCGUUAUCCGGAUUCGACUGGGUUUAAAGGGAGCGCAGGCGGAUUUGUAAGUCAGUGGUGAAAGGCUUAAGCUUAACUUGGGAACUGCCAUUGAUACUAUAAGUCUUGAAUGUUGUUGAGGUUUGCGGAAUGGGUCAUGUAGCGGUGAAAUGCAUAGAUAUGACCCGGAACACCUAUUGCGAAGGCAGCAGGCUAAACAAAUAUUGACGCUGAGGCUCGAAAGCGUGGGGAUCAAACAGGAUUAGAUACCCCUGGUAGUCCACGCCCUAAACUAUGAUUGCUCGACAUAUGCGAUACACUGUAUGUGUCUGAGCGAAAGCAUUAAGUAAUCCACCUGGGAAGUACGACCGCAAGGUUG
rnacentral:rRNA from 1 species